rnacentral:rRNA from 1 species
AUUGAACGCUGGCGGCAGGCCUAACACAUGCAAGUCGAACGAGUGGCGGACGGGUGAGUAAUGUCUGGGAAACUGCCUGAUGGAGGGGGAUAACUACUGGAAACGGUAGCUAAUACCGCAUACCAUCGGAUGUGCCCAGACUGGAUUAGCUAGUGGGUGGGGUAACGGCUCACCUAGGCGACGAUCCCUAGCUGGUCUGAGAGGAUGACAGUCCACAUUGGAACUGAGACCGGGUCCAGACUCCUACGGGAGGCAGCGGUGGGGAAUUUUGCACAAUGGGCGCAAGCCUGAUGCAGCCAUGCCGCUUGUAUGAAGAAGGCCUUCGGGUUGUAAAGUACUUUCAGCGGGGAGGCGUUACCCGCAGAAGAAGCACCGGCUAACUCCGUGCCAGCAGCCGCGGUAAUAC